UCUAUGCGGAAAUAUCCCUUAGCUAAGGAUUAUUCGGAGUCCGCAUAGAACAACUAAAUAAGUACAGCAGUCUUACCGAAUAAGGCAGCUGCAAGUCAAGAUGAAGGAAUUCUUCAUUCUAGCUUGUGGUGUUUUGUCAUGCCUUAUUUGAGCUGAAUU
ncrna:unclassified sequences DTF2800 RNA